GAGAAAAUUUUGUCAUUUCCAAGUUGGGCUAGUACUUCGUUUAUAUCGGGUAAGGGGUAUUUAUCCGCUAUAGUCACCUGUUAAGUUUCCUAUAAUCGAUGACCAUACGAUAUUUCUUUUCACCUGAUGCGUCUGCUUUUUUUGGAAUAACCCACACUGGCCCAAGGCGGAUGUAACAUGAUCGUACACUUGAAGGCUACAAAGUAUAAGUGCAUGGUCAGCAUUCCCACGCCGACCAAAUUCAUAAUACAUAAGUACAUAGUUCGUGUAUGUACUGUACUGUACAGCCUGACGGCUGCAAUCAAAACCAAAAGACUUGUAUUAUCAAUGAACGACCCAUUACAUGGCGACCGUGACAGUCGUCCAACGACAGACAAAUUGACGAAAUAAUAAACACAUAUUGGAGAAAAACUGGACUGGAAGGCUGAGGAAGAAUAACGAGGAAUCAUUACAUGGAACUUACAAUUGCCAAAACUGAGGAAAAAUCUGAGUGAGUAGAGUUGUAUUGAGUUAUGGGAAAACACCGUGGCAGUCUAAAAACCAAACUGAACAAACGUAUAGCCCACGUAAGGUGGCUAAUAUACGGCCAGCGAACGCCACCGGCUUGGUCGAAAGCUCUAAAGCUACAUGCAGAGCUAGAUCACUUGCUGCAAUAUCAGCAAGAAUUGAAGACCCAAAAACUCGAGAAAACUCACUCAGAAAAUACUACAAAUAUAACAAUAAUUAAUAAAGUUCCAAAAACAAAGGCAUGUCCAGCACCAGCACCAGCACUAACGAAGCCAAAAAAAACCUGCCCCCGGGACUGCGAAGGAGUCUGGAGUCCUCACUGCCUGGGGACUAGUGGGCCAUCAACAUCAUCAGCAGCCCAGAAAUAGACAGCAGCGAGGGAGUGUCAGCGUGCCACCCCCGGCGACGCCCAGCUGACACCAGGAGAUAAACAUAAGCAGCAGUAAAAUGUUAACUAAUUAACAAUAAAUAUAAAUAUAUAUAUAUAAGAAAAAUUGUAAUACACAUUGUAAAAUGGAGCAUAUACUACUAUGCCCUGUUAACCCAAUAUGGCCCGUGAAGCCAUAGCUAGAAUCAGGCAGGCAAUAAUGUAAAACAAAAUUUUUUUUUUGACUAACAUUGACAAAAUUUAAGAAAGAAAUAAUUGCCAAUAUAAAUCUCUAUAGAAACAAAUGGAAUAAGCAAAACUAAAAACAUAUAUAAAAAUAAAGAAGAUUUUUUACCAAACUAUAAAAUUAGUAUACCCAAAAUGGGUCUGAUAAGCACUAAAACUGUUGACUCAACAGCAAAUGUUAUAAAUAAAAUGGAAGUCCAAAAUGCAGAAUUGUUCUGGAUAACCAUAAUACUAAUUGUAAUUGCUCUAAUUAUGGUAUCCAAUGCAUUAAUAAAAAUAUACAAAGUACAUAGCAAGUGCCUUAGAAAACGAUACCGUAGCACUGCUAACGGUUUAGAUAAUAUUUAAAGGAAAUUAUGAGGGAACUCAAUUAUAAACGAAAAUAUAAAAAAAAAUUGAAAAAAAAUAAUAAUAAAGUAAAACAAACGUAAUAUUGACUUUAUCUAGAUUAGAAUCCAAAAAUAUAUAGCAAUAGCGAACCACGAGUGUAGCUCAAACACAGUUUAUGAAGAAUAUGACCCCGAUUUUAAGAAUAAAGCAUUAUAAGUAAUAUUCAAAUGUCUAAAUUCGAAAGUAUAAGUAUACCACAGCAUGGACUGGGAAAAGCUUAUUGAUCAGAUAAAAGAAUCAAAAGAAAAUUUCAAAAAAUCUUAUAAAUGCUUGACGCAAAAUAUAUCAAUACAAGCUGUACCGAUAAAUAAAAUUGCCCAAACAUUGGUAAAUAGUUACAAUGAAGUCAGAGAACUGAUACAACAGAAUAGAAAGAAUUUGGACAGUAAACAGUGUGCUAACGUUUCGGAACUACUGGUGGCAUUAAGAGAAAAAUUAAUAUUAAUAAAAAAUAAAUUCAGCCUCCAGAUAGAAAUUCCGACAAUAGUAAACACUCCGUUAACAAUAAAUUUUAAUGAAGAAAGCACUGACUCAGACGAAGAAAAUACGACUGUAGUCGAGGAAGAUAUUAAAGAGGAAGAUCUUCACAAUCUAACUAUACCAGCAAAAUUAGUGCUGAAGGAAAAAAAUAAAACAAAUAACGCAGCUGACUCAGAAAAUAAAUUAACCAUGGCAGAACAAGCCGCAGCCAUUAGGUCUUACAAUAAGGAAGUCGCUUGCGCAGUGCCAGAAUUUGAUGGGUAAGAGAUCCAUUUACAACGAUUCAUUAAGGCAAUCAAAUUGGUAGACCUAGCUAAGGGACCAUUUGAAGACAUUGCAGUUGAGGUCCUUAAGUCAAAAAUAGUUGGAACAAUUUUGAACUCAGUUGACAAUGAAACGAAAAUUCCAGAAAUGAUAAACAAAUGGCAGAAAGUAGUCGUAGGUGAAACUUCCAGUAAUGUCAAGGCAAAACUAGCAACAGUUCAGCAAAGAGGUAAAACUGCAAUGCAAUUUACCGCUGAAGUUGAUAGACUGAGAAAGCUAUUCCUUUAUCCUUCCUUUAUCGAUGAGGGUAUACCUCUCGAACAUGCCACUGGUCUAAGCACUAAAGAGGCAAUUGACACCACGAUAAAUCGUGCUGAGCACAAAAGUAUAAAAACAAUACUGGAAGCAGGGACUUGCACCACUAUGGAUGCAGCGAUUAGCGCAUACUUAAGAACGAGCGCAAGAGUUACCGGUGACAUCAAUAAAGUGAUGUACUUUAGAGGUAACAGAUCCAACAGAGAAUACGGAAAUGCCAAUAGAGGUGCUAACCGAGGUAGAGGCUUCAAUAACAAUGGUAAUAGAGGCAACUAUAAUAACGGUUACCAAAAUAACGGUUACCAGAAUAACGGUUAUCAAAACCGCUAUAAUAGUAAUAAUAACCGCUAUAAUGGCUAUAAUAGAGGCCGCAAUAAUCUAAACAGAGGCCGUAACAACAACCAGAAUAACAAUAACGGAAAUAAUGCCAAUGUACGAGUAAUCCAAGAUCAGGGAAACUCGCAACAGCCUUUAGGUACUCAGUAGAAGAAGAUCGUAGAGUACACGCCAUCAAUUAUAAUCUCAAUAUAUUUUCCACAUUCAUUCAUGCCGAAACAGGUGUAAAACUAGUUUUUCUUCUUGAUACAGGUGCAGAUAUCUCUGCACGACAGAUUCUGACCAAUUAGUCUAUAUGGACACUUUAAAAUAUGAGCCACUUUCGAACUACAAUGUAGUUCAGGCAAAUAGUGAAAACAGAAAUAAAACUGUCUUAUCUCAAUUAAAGAAAAAUUUCCCCGAAUUAUUCAAAUCACAAUUAGAAAAUAUAUGCAGCGAAUAUAUAGAUAUAUUUGCAUUAGAAUCAGAACCAAUAACAGUUCAUAAUUUUUAUAAACAACAGUUGAGAUUAAAAGAUGAUGAGCCGGUAUACACAAAAAAUUAUAGAAGUCCUCAUAGUCAAGUAGAAGAAAUGCAAGCCCAAGUUCAGAAAUUAAUAAAAGAUAAAAUAGUUGAACCAUCAGUUUCACAGUACAAUAGCCCUUUGCUAUUAGUACCUAAAAAGUCAAGCCCAAAUUCAGAUUAAAAGAAAUGGAGAUUAGUAAUAGACUAUCGCCAAAUUAAUAAGAAACUUUUAGCUGACAAAUUUCCACUACCGAGAAUAGAUGAUAUUUUGGACCAACUUGGUCGAGCAAAAUAUUUCUCCUGCCUUGAUUUAAUGUCAGGUUUUCAUCAAAUCGAACUAGAUGAAGGCUCGAGAGAUAUAACAUCUUUCUCAACCAACAAUGGCUCAUAUCGUUUCACGCGAUUGCCAUUUGGCUUAAAAAUAGCGCCUAAUUCAUUUCAAAGAAUGAUGACUAUAGCAUUCUCCGGAAUAGAACCGUCUCAGGCAUUCCUUUAUAUGGAUGACUUAAUAGUCAUAGGUUGUUCCGAAAAACAUAUGCUUAAAAACCUCACUGAAGUUUUUGGUAAAUGUAGGGAAUACAACCUAAAGUUACAUCCUGAAAAAUGUUCAUUUUUCAUGCAUGAAGUCACAUUUUUAGGACAUAAAUGCACAGACAAAGGAAUUUUGCUGGAUGAUUAAAAACAUGAUGUCAUUCAGAACUACCCAGUUCCACAUGAUGCGGACAGCGCUAGACGUUUUGUAACAUUUUGCAAUUACUACAGACGUUUUAUCAAAAAUUUCGCCGACUAUUCGCGGCACAUAACAAGAUUAUGUAAAAAGAAUGCUCCAUUCGAGUGGACAGAUAAUUGUCAAAAUGCAUUCGCACAUUUAAAAUCUCAGCUAAUUAACCCAACACUCUUGCAGUACCCAGACUUCAGCAAAGAAUUUUGCAUAAUAACAGAUGCAAGCAAGCAAGCGUGUGGCGCAGUUUUAACUCAAAACCAUAAUGGCCACCAACUCCCAGUUGCUUAUGCAUCAAGAGCUUUUACGAAAGGUGAAAGCAAUAAGAGUACAACAGAACAAGAGUUAGCAGCAGUUCAUUGGGCAGUAGUACAUUUUAGACCAUACAUUUACGAAAAACACUUCACUGUGAAAACAGACCAUAGACCAUUGACAUAUUUAUUCUCGAUGGUCAACCCCAGUUCUAAAUUAACAAGAAUAAGGCUUGAAUUAGAGGAAUAUAAUUUUACGGUAGAGUAUCUAAAGGGCAAGACAAUCAUGUAGCUGAUGCGUUAUCAAGAAUAACCAUCAAAGAGCUAAAAGAAAUAACUGGAAAUAUAUUAAAAGUCACUACAAGAUUUCAAAGUAGACAAAAAUCCUGCGCAGGAAAAGAACAAUUGGAUUUGCAUGAGCAAACCAAAGAAAAAGCUUCAGAGCCCAACGUAUACGUAGUCAUAACAAAUGACGAGGUACGAAAAGUAGUAACAUUGCAAUUGAAUGACACGACAUGUUUAUUUAAACAUGGAAAGAUAAUCGUUGCAAGAUAUGAUGUUGGUGAUCUUUACACUAAUGGAAUUCUUGAUCUAGAUCAAUUUUUUCAAAGGCUUGAAUUGCAAGCCAGUAUAUAUGAUAUCAGCCAACUCAAAAUGGCACCGUGGGAGAAAAUCUUUGAACACGUUUCAAUAGAUGAAUUUUAAAAUAUGGGCAAUAUAAUAUUAAAGAAUUUAAAAGUAGCGCUACUUAUCCCGGUGACCCAAAUAAAUAAUGAAAAAAAAAAGAAACUAUAUUGUCUACACUACAUGAUGAUCCAAUACAAGGAGGGCAUACAGGCAUUACAAAAACCUUGGCCAAGGUCAAAAGAUAUUACUAUUGGAAAAAUAUGAGUAAAUACAUAAAAGAGUACGUAAGAAAAUGUCAAAAAUGCCUAAAGCAAAAACAACAAAGCAUAGAAAGACUCUAAUGACUAUAAGUGACACACCAGAACAUGCUUUCGAUAGAGUUGUCGUGGACACAAUUGGUCCACUACCUAAGUCAGAAAAUGGUAACGAGUACGCAGUCACUCUCAUAUGUGAUUUAACCAAGUACUUAGUUGCCAUACCAAUA